UUUACUAGAUAGACGCAUUUUCUGCAGAAUAAAGACGUGAAAGCAAAAAACGGGCUGUUCUUAUUUGAAUUCGACCGCCAUAAGUUCUCUUUAUUACCGUCGGUGAGAUCCAUCGUUGGCGUUCUUGAAUGGCUUCAAUGGAAAUCAGCGCGCUACGGUUAGCCUAGGUAAGGUCGGAACGUAAUUACAGGACAAACAUGACGUGGUUCACAAAACGUACGUUCUAGUGAUAUCAUCGAGAUAUUACUGGCUAUAGAUUGGAACGAGAGAAAGAAGAAGGGUGCUUCAAAGUGUCUUCAAAGUGAAGAUGGGAGCGGCAGGUCAGUGUUCGAAAUUGAACAUGGUUUUUAGUGAUUGUUUUCUUUGCCAAAAGAUGGCUUUGGCAAAGACCGGAAAUUUGAUGAAGAUCGACAAAGGAGGUAUAAUAAGAAACAGAAGACACACCCAUAGUCAUAUAAAGGUGAUUUACGAUAUCUCGAUCAGUAGAUUGCUAUCUCGAUUUACAUUCCUUACUCCCGAAUACUCGAUUAUUGUGACCGAUACAACAACUACGGACUGCGAGCAUUGACCAAGUCUCUAGUUGCUUUUAUGCAACGCGCUUCUUCAAGGUAUUCGAAAGAAACAGAAUGUCUGGAUCACUCCGAUAAAUAUUUCCUACUAAUACAAGCUGACCCAGAUAAUUUGAAGGUACACUUAUCGUAAGAACUGCCUAGCCUAUUUAUUCACGCCUUGCCGAGCCUUUGAACGUCCUGAUAAAUGAACCUUGCGAGAUGUGUGGACUUUUAAGUUAAUAACAAGCUAUAUCAAGUACCAGUACUUCAAGAGAUAUAACAAAAAGCCGUUCCGAAUGCUUUUUAAUAUAAAAUUGUAGGCGAUCUUUAAUACCAUGUUUAUGUCUUCAGAUUAGUUUUCAUUCGUCAUUUAGCAAUACAAUGACCUUGUUUAGUCGCGUUUAUUUAAAAAAAAACUGACCUAUUUGUUUUUGAAAAUCGCUGGGCUCAAUUUAAUAGCAGCAUUUAGAAUCAGGGAUAAAAGUUCGUCGCCCGGACAAAACAAAGAUGGUGGAUAUGCGGAGUGUGAAAGACCUUGCCAAGGAUAUACAACAAUCGAUCAUCAGCAGACUCUCUCUCCACUGCAAAUGUCUCUUCGGCCCAUAAAAAAUUAAAGCUGUAGAGACGGAAAAAACGCUUCGUUACAGCUGGCUCACAGAAAAUAUGGCGAAUACACGUACGUUUCCAAAAUCGCCGUAUUACUUACGAUGAUACAAAAAUCGCAAAUAUAUUAUAUAAAUUAGAAUAAGAUAAAGAAACAUAGGACAAAAUUGUGUACGUUUUCUUUACGUUACGCUCUAUGUGUGCGUGAACGUCCGCACAUCGACAAAAACCACAGGGUGAUCCGUUGACGUUCACUCGUGUUACGGGAUCUGACCACCAUCUAAGCGUGAGGCGAACCUCCAUUGCUGCUGCUUCAAAAUCGUGGGCUGAAAUCAUAACUAAUAUGGCCAGGGUAAGUCGGUCAUCAGUUGACCCGGUUCACGUACAUUCAAACUACGUAUCCACGUAUGUCCGGCCGACCGGAAGCCAGCUGUAACAUAAAAGGAGAGACAAAUGAAACUUAAU
rnacentral:lncRNA from 11 species